CGUUGUAAAAAAUUUGAUACGUUGAAGGUUGUAUUGCGUUGUAUAAGAAACAUCAAUAUUAAUGGAUAUAAACUGGUAAAUCUAGGAUGUCUAGAAACGCACAUGAAUAAGGUAAUGAAACAUGUUGUAUUGUGUGAGGCAGCGAAACAAGUUGUUAUUACAGACAAUCCAGUCGUACGAAUUACUUCGGAACUUAGGACUUAGCGUCCGUCCUGUCUGUUUGUUGCUGUGGAUGCAGUAAAAGUUUUAAAUUUGAAACAAGCCCAAAACUAAGAACCAUGGACACAAUUACAGGUCAUUAUGAUAUAAAUGUUCGAGCUGUCACUGGUAACGGAGCUUCACAUCUGAAGGAAGUGAUGGCUACUAUGGAUGCCCCAAGUUUGUCCCAGCCUGCUUUCACGAGAAUUGAAUCUCAGAUUGGUGCUUCGUGGGAAUGUAUUUCUCAAGAUGAAUUACUAGCAGCAGGUGCUGAAGAACGAAGGCUAGCCAUAGAAGACAACUGUUUCCACCAAGGUGUUCCUGCGAUUACAGUGGUAGCAGAUGGAGGUUGGAGCAAGAGAACACACAAACACUCGUAUAAUGCUUUAGUUUGAAGAUAAAACCAAGCCUUCUGUAAGUAAAAGGACGGUUACAUGUCGUAAGAAAACUACUUCAAGGCCCAAAUCAACUUCCACAGUGACGCAGAAGAUUAGUACAGUACCAUCAGAUAGGAAUACUGCAAGUGUCAUCACUUUCAUCGUCAAGGAGAGGACUAUUUGUGCAUCCUGUGCCACGACAACCACCACACGCUGGUGAACAACCCAGUCCGUGUUUCCUACAAGAGCAUCGUAAAACGAGCAGCAUCUUCAAAAACAAAGUUUGUUGGUAGACAAAUUAAACAUAAAUGGAAGUUGUGCAUUGAUUCUAAAUACCGAGUGGUAUACUGGCUAUGUAACACCCCUUUUGUCUGGAGUAGAUGGGAAUUAAAAUGCAGUGUAUGAAGUGCUAUAUGACAAUGAUGACGAACCUUACAUGAUUGACCAUCUUGUAGAAGACUUCAAGGAAGGAUCAGUACAGCUUUUGGAUUUAUAGGGUAUUAUCUCACAUACAUAUAUGUUUUUAAAUACUGUGAAUUACAUUGCAUGAUAUUUUUAAAACAAUUAAUGUUGCAAUGUCACUAUGUGAUGAAUAAUAUUGCCCAUAAUUUCAACUUGCAUAUUGUGUAAUAACCCUCCUUAUUAGCUCACCUAAGCACAAUGUGCUCAUGGUUAUUUUUUUAUUCCGUUUUGUCCGUCGUGCAACAUACGGUAUGCAUCAUGCUGCAUCGUCAUUUAACUUGUUUACCCUAUAGAGGCCACAUUUAUUGUAUAUGUUUAAUGAAAUUUUGUCUGAAGAUUAUUGUGUCUCAAUUAUAUUUUGAAUGAGUAAAGUAAUUAUUAUGUGUGGUUGAAAAACAUUAGUGACAUGGGGCGUGGCAUUUUUCCUUAUAUGACUAUAUAUGGCUGUACUUAAACCUUGUAAACACUUUAGUGGUCACAUUUAUUGUACGAUGUUAAUGAAACUUGUACAGAAGAUUCAUACCAAUAAUAUAUUGGAUUAGUUAAAAAAUGAUGAUGGUUGAAAAACAUGUAUGCAAAGGAGGCGGGGCAUUUUUCAUUACACGCCUAUAUAUGGCUAUAGUAAAACAUUGUUAACACAAUUUAUGCCACAUUUAUUGUCUGAUGUUCAUGUAAAUUGAUCAGAACAUUUGUACCAGUGAUGCAUUGAAUGAAUUUUAAAAUGUUUCUGUCUGUUUGAAAAGCAUUGCCGCCAAUAGGGUGGGGCACUUGUCCUUAUAUACAUAUAGUGAAACCUUGUUAACACUAUAGAGGCCACAUUUAUUGUGUGAUUUGAAUGAAAUUUGUUCAUAAAAUUGGUGUAAAUUAUAUGUUUGAUGAUUUGGAAAAUUGUUAAUUUUGUUUGAAAAACAUGGCUGCAAAGGGGUGCGACAUUUUUCCUUAUAUGGCAAUAUAUGGCUAUAGUAAAACAUUGUAAACAGUAUAGUAUUAUGAAAUGUCACAUGCAGACAGAAUAUAUAUUUUCUUAGUACUUUUCUUAUCAUUAAAAUUAAAAUAUAGUAACUUUUCCAACAAAUAUAAAAUAGUAAAUAUAGUUUAAUGUCACAAUUGGUAUACCAUACUUAAAGUAGUUCCUAAUUUUGUUUGUUACUUUUUGACAUUUGUUGAUGUUUUUCUUUUGCAUAUUUUAUGAUUGUUGGUGUGUGUUGUGUGGAAUUCUCAAUGUCGUACCUACAAUUAAGUGUAUACAAUCUUUUCACCAAAGGAAUUUUUUUAAUUUAACUCUGUUAGUUAAUUUGAUAUUUUCAUGCAUGCAAUGUAUAAUUCUUCAAAAGCAACAUUUUGCAUAUUUAUUUUUUUUCAUUUUCAUUUACUGAUAUGUUCUACAAGUAUUUACGAGCAUAUUAACAUAUAAAUUGAAUUAUAUGACAUAAUAUUUAUUGAACUAUUCCUAUUUGAAGAAUACACCUUUUGACACUUUACAUGAACCUUAAGGCAUGUAUUCAACUUCUUACGCACGUUUGUUAAUGGUAAUAUCAAUUGCAUGCAAUCAAUUCGUCUUAGUCUGUUUAUAUGUUUGCUCCUUUUUGCAGCUCCUUUUUGCAUAAGAUUCUUUGAAAUCGUAAAACCCCAUGGCUUGAAAUCACAUUUUUUCAAACGUCAGUCAUCUUACUUCCUGUGUUCGUAACGGUUGAAUUGUUUCAAGUCAAGGUUAUCGGCAAUGAAUUAGAAAACGCCCACAUCGUUUCAUGGUAUUAUGCACCGCUCUUUUAUAUUGUCAUAAUUUAACUGCGCUCCUGUUUAAUUCUUAUUUUAAGCCCAAGAUGGCUGACAUUUGUCAUUUUUACUCAGUCAGCUGUUAAGUUAACGUUCGAAUGUAGUUAAGUCAUAAUGACGUCAUUGACCAGUUAUUUCGUCACCGACUACUUUUUGCCCAUGUUUUCUUGGUCAUUGGCCAAUAACGUUAGUUGGUCAAUGACCACCUUUCGACCACUUUUCGCCCCAGAUUUUUGGUCGAUCACACCACAGAGUAUAUAAGGAGCCAAUUUUUUGCUCCGAGUCAGUCUCGCUCAGUCUUUUUAUUGGAACCAUCUCUUCGUCAUUUUUAAAACAGAAAUAACUUAACAUUCUUUUGAGUACGUGGUUUUGAAUGUUAUAACUUGUAAAUGGUUUAUUUUAAUACUGGAGAGUUUUACUAACAGUUUAACAUGAAAAGUAACUAUUUUAACGUAACCUUAAGAGUUUUACUAACAGUCAACUAUUUAAACGUAAUCUACAUGUAUUGUAUUAAUGCACUUCUGUGAAUUGAUCUGUCUUUGAUCAGUCGAAUAUAUUGAAGACUUUUAAAAAUCGCUAGCUAUAUGAGAACAAUUUGUAGGUCUGUUCAAAAAGAUCAGUGUAUAUAUUACACAGAAUUUGUUAGACAGUGGGUGCCUGUAUACAUGUAAUAUUAUAUAAUUUUUGAACACAAGGGAAACGGAAAUUAACAAAUAAAUAAGCAGUUUGAAAAGUU